rnacentral:rRNA from 1 species
CCUACGGGAGGCAGCAGUGAGGAAUAUUGGUCAAUGGACGAGAGUCUGAACCAGCCAAGUAGCGUGAAGGAUGACUGCCCUAUGGGUUGUAAACUUCUUUUAUAUGGGAAUAAAAUGUUCCACGUGUGGGAUUUUGUAUGUACCCUAUGAAUAAGGAUCGGCUAACUCCGUGCCAGCAGCCGCGGUAAUACGGAGGAUCCGAGCGUUAUCCGGAUUUAUUGGGUUUAAAGGGAGCGUAGGUGGAUUGUUAAGUCAGUUGUGAAAGUUUGCGGCUCAACCGUAAAAUUGCAGUUGAAACUGGAAGUCUGGAGUACAGGAGAGGUGGGCGGAAUGCGUGGUGUAGCGGUGAAAUGCUUAGAUAUCACGAAGAACUCCGAUUGCGAAGGCAGUUCACUGGAGCGUAACUGACGUUGAGGCUCGAAAGCGUGGGGAGCAAACAGGAUUAGAUACCCCAGUAGUC